UAAUACGUAGGGACCGAGCGUUGUCCGGAAUCAUUGGGCGUAAAGAGCGUGUAGGCGGCCACUUAAGUCCUGCGUGAAAUCCUGCGGCUCAACCGCAGGCGGUCGUGGGAAACUGGGUGGCUAGAGUGCGGGAGAGGAGAGUGGAAUUCCUGGUGUAGCGGUGGAAUGCGCAGAUAUCAGGAAGAACACCCGUGGCGAAGGCGGCUCUCUGGAACGCAACUGACGCUGAGACGCGAAAGCGUGGGGAGCAAACAGGAUUAGAUACCCUGGUAGUCCACGCCGUAAACGAUGGAUGCUAGGUGUGGGCGGUGUCGACUCCGUCCGUGCCGAAGCUAACGCAUUAAGCAUCCCGCCUGGGGAGUACGGCCGCAAGGCUA
rnacentral:rRNA from 1 species